AGGAGGAGACUGGACUCACAUUCCACCGACUUCCGGACUGAUCAAAACAACGAGGAUGUGAUCACUUGUAUUAGGUGGAGACUGGACUCACAUUCCACCGACUUCCGGACUGAUCAAAAGAACGAGGAUAUGAUCACUUGUAUUAGGUCUUCCUCACUGGGCCUGCUUGGCUUUUGUGUUACUGGGAGGGUGCCAUCACCGUUUACCUUUCAAGACUGACUCAUGCUGGCACUGCAUUUGUUGACCUUCUCUUCACAGUAAACACACAGUCCUUCUCCAUAUGGUGAUUGUCCAGGGCAAGCAGGGUGUGGCCGCCAUCUUGGAAACAGGAGGAUGGAGAAGCAGGGUCUUCUAAUUUCUUCAAAGCAAAAGAAUCUUCUGUCUUCCCAGACUUAUGGCAGCUUCUGCCGGCCUUGCAUUCUUGUUCCUACAUGGCCCUUGGGCCUUUUAUAUUUAUUUUACAUAAUAAAACAACUAUUAAUA